CCUUAAAGCUGAGGCAGCAACAAGACUAAAGUGUUGCCGGUAUGCGGCUUUGCUCUAGUCCUCAGCUUCCGCUACGAGCAGCAGAGGGCUCUUCAGGCAGCACAGACCCAGAUGAACGAGCUCACAGAGGCUGAAGACAAACUGGCAGGCUUUUCACUUUCUGGACCAGGAUUUGCAACCUUUGCCUGUAAAGAAAAAGGAACAUUGACACAACGACUCCAUUUAAGUUUACUGCUUUUAUUUUUACCUGGAACCUCCCGCUGAAGCAGCACAUGCAGUUUCUCUGAAAUGUUGCAAAGACUCUCCAGGGUGGACACCUGCACACAACACAACACAAACAAGGGACCCAUCAAGCUGCCAUUUAGUACAUUUUAUUUGUGAGUCAACUCUGAAAAUAGAGGCAGUCUUGAGGAACCUCUGCAUGGUUUUGAGGGCUUUUACCUUUGGCCAGCAGGUGGCAGAUUUUCCAACUGCAUCCUUACUGGAGAGUGCUCUGCAGAAAGAGGGGGCA